UACGUAGGCAGCAAGCGUUGUUCGGAGUUACUGGGCGUAAAGAGUGCGUAGGCGGUUUUCUAAGUUUGGUGUGAAAUCUCCCGGCUCAACUGGGAGGGUGCGCCGAAAACUGGAAGGCUUGAGUGUGGGAGAGGUAAGCGGAAUUCCUGGUGUAGCGGUGAAAUGCGUAGAUAUCAGGAGGAACACCUGCGGUGUAGACGGCUUACUGGACCACGACUGACGCUGAGGCACGAAAGCGUGGGUAGCAAACAGG
rnacentral:rRNA from 1 species